GACGAACGCUGGCGGCGUGCCUAAUACAUGCAAGUAGGACGCAGUUGCGAACGGGUGAGUAACGCGUAGGUAUCUACCUAUUAGAGGGGGAUAACUAUUGGAAACGAUAGCUAAUACCGCAUACUAGUAGAUGGACCUGCGUUGUAUUAGGUAGUAGGUAGGGUAAUGGCCUACCUAGGCAACGAUGCAUAGCCGACCUGAUAGGGUGAUCGGCCAGACUGGGACUGAGACAAGUCCCAGACUCCUCAGGGAGGUAGCAGUAGGGAAUCUGCGGCAAUGUGGGGAAUCGUGACCGAGCAACUCCGCGGGAGUGAAGAAGGUUUUCGGAUCGUAAGGCUCUGUUGUUAAGGAAGCGGUACUUAACCAGAAAGGGACGGCUAACUACGUGUCAGCAGCCGCGGUAAUUC
rnacentral:rRNA from 1 species